rnacentral:snRNA from 1 species
AUGCCUUCAACUUAUGAGUAAGGAAAAUGGGUCAAAAUAAUGCCUGAAUCCUUACUGUUAAUGUGAACUGAAUUUUUUAGCAGGUGAGAAUUCAGAUUUUUACCUA